UUUUUUGGAGGGCAAAGUCUGGUGCCAGCAGCCGCGGUAAUUCCAGCUCCAAUAGCGUAUAUUAAAGUUGUUGCAGUUAAAAAGCUCGUAGUUGAAUUUCGGGAUCAUCAGGUUGGUCGUGCCUCUGGUAUGUACUGAUUUCGAUGGUUCCUCCUUCUUGUAGAACCGUAAUGCCAUUAAUUUGGUGUUGCGGGAAAACAGGACUGUUACUUUGAAAAAAUUAGAGUGUUUAAAGCAGGCAAUCGCUUGAAUACAUUAGCAUGGAAUAAUGAAAUAGGACGUUUGAUCCUAUUUUGUUGGUUUCUAGGAUUGACGUAAUGAUUAAUAGGGAUAGUUGGGGGCAUUAGUAUUCAAUUGUCAGAGGUGAAAUUCUUGGAUUUAUUGAAGACUAACUACUGCGAAAGCAUUCGCCAAGGAUGUUUUCAUUAAUCAAGAACGAAAGUUAGGGGAUCGAAGACGAUCAGAUACCGUCGUAGUCUUAACCAUAAACUAUGCCGACUAGGGAUCGGAUGAUGUUAAUUUUUUAAUGACUCAUUCGGCGCNUUACGGGAAACAAAA
rnacentral:rRNA from 1 species